rnacentral:tRNA from 1 species
UCCGGUAUCGUUCAAAGGCAGGACACCAAGCUGUUAACUUGGCUAUGUUGGUUCGAUCCCAGCUACCGGAG